rnacentral:rRNA from 1 species
UACGUAGGGGGCAAGCGUUAUCCGGAUUUACUGGGUGUAAAGGGGGCGCAGACGGCGAUGCAAGCCAGGAGUGAAAGCCCGAGGCCCAACCCCGGGACUGCUCUUGGAACUGCGUGGCUGGAGUGCAGGAGGGGCAGGCGGAAUUCCUGGUGUAGCGGUGAAAUGCGUAGAUAUCAGGAGGAACACCGGUGGCGAAGGCGGCCUGCUGGACUGCAACUGACGUUGAGGCCCGAAAGCGUGGGGAGCAAACAGG